UACGAAGGGGGCUAGCGUUGUUCGGAAUUACUGGGCGUAAAGCGCACGUAGGCGGAUCGUUAAGUGAGGGGUGAAAUCCCAGGGCUCAACCCUGGAACUGCCUUUCAUACUGGCGGUCUUGAGUUCGAGAGAGGUGAGUGGAAUUCCGAGUGUAGAGGUGAAAUUCGUAGAUAUUUGGAGGAACACCAGUGGCGAAGGCGGCUCACUGGCUCGAUACUGACGCUGAGGUGCGAAAGCGUGGGGAGCAAACAGG
rnacentral:rRNA from 1 species